rnacentral:pre_miRNA from 1 species
UCAUUUUUGUGAUUGAUGUAAUUCAUAUCAUACAAUUGCAUAGUCACAAAAGUGAUG